UACGGAGGAUGCAAGCGUUAUCCGGAUUCAUUGGGUUUAAAGGGUGCGUAGGCGGGUCUAUAAGUCAGGGGUGAAAUCCGGCAGCUCAACUGUCGAACUGCCCUUGAUACUGUAGGUCUAGAGUUAAGUUGAGGCAGGCGGAAUAUGACAUGUAGCGGUGAAAUGCUUAGAUAUGUCAUAGAACACCGAUAGCGAAGGCAGCCUGCCAAACUUAUACUGACGCUGAUGCACGAAAGCGUGGGUAGCGAACAGG
rnacentral:rRNA from 1 species